CGGGUCCUGAGUCGCGACCCUGGUCCGGACCUGACCUGAAUUGCGACCCCAACCUGGACUGCUCCCCUGACCGCAACCCCUACCCCCGCCCACCAGCAUGGCCCGGCACGUGUUCCUAACGGGGCCCCCAGGAGUUGGAAAAACAACAUUGAUCCAUAAAGCCAGUGAGGUUUUAAAAUCCUCUGGUGUGCCUGUUGAUGGAUUUUAUACCGAAGAAGUCAGACAGGGAGGGAGAAGAAUAGGAUUCGAUGUCGUCACGUUGUCCGGCACCCGGGGGCCUUUAUCGAGAGUUGGGUUAGAGCCUCCACCUGGAAAACGUGAAUGCCGAGUUGGGCAGUAUGUGGUCGACCUGACUUCUUUUGAGCAGUUGGCACUACCCGUCUUGAGGAAUGUCACCAAGGAAAACAGAAACCACCUUCUGCCAGAUAUCGUGACGUGCGUGCAGAGCAGCAGGAAGUGAAGACACAUGCAUUCCGUGAAGGAGUGCCCAGUUCAAGAGGAGCCUGAUGGAGCCCUGCCUGUCGAGGCUGUAUGCCUAUGGGGUUAUGGAACCUUGUGGGCUUUUCUAGAGAAAACUCAACAGCUGUUUCCCAUAAAAUGUUUAAAAGAUCAAAUUAGCCUUAAUGCUGGAUUGUCUGUACAAGAUUAACUAUCCAUUGUGGCUUAUCUAUGCUUAAAGAUUUCUUGUUUAUUUCCUCUUGCAGUCAUGCACAUGAUUUGGGUAAACUGUGAGAUGAGAAAUGGUUUUCAGAGUAUUAGAUGGAAUUCACCCCCGUUGAAGUUUAUAAAUGUGUUCAGGGGAAGGGGGAGGAAAGAGUUCACUGCCUAAUCAGUUUUGCAUGUCAUGAAAAUUAAAUUCCUCUCCAGGUGCAGCUUCAGCCUCAUGCAACUUAAAGUGAUAACAGUUAUUUGAUUUUUUAAAAAAUAUUAUUCCAAAAGAAAACCAUUUUAGGUCAUCUCCCCCAACUCUGU
rnacentral:sRNA from 1 species